GUGGGGAAUAUUGGACAAUGGGGGAAACCCUGAUCCAGCAAUGCCGCGUGAGUGAAGAAGGCCUUAGGGUUGUAAAACUCUUUCACUGAUGAAGAUGAUGACGGUAAUCAGAGAAGAAGCCCCGGCUAACUCCGUGCCAGCAGCCGCGGUAAUACGGAGGGGGCUAGCGUUGUUCGGAUUUACUGGGCGUAAAGCGCACGUAGGCGGCAUAUCAAGUCAGAGGUGAAAGGCCUGGGCUCAACCUAGGAACGGCCUUUGAUACUGGUAUGCUUGAGUUCGGAAGAGGGUAGUGGAAUUCCAAGUGUAGAGGUGAAAUUCGUAGAUAUUUGGAAGAACACCGGUGGCGAAGGCGGCUACCUGGUCCGAUACUGACGCUGAGGUGCGAAAGCGUGGGGAGCGAACAGGAUUAGAAACCCGAGUAGUCC
rnacentral:rRNA from 1 species